GGGGUCAACUGAAGGAAACAUCUGAUGCCACCGAAGGGUGGUAUAGUUGAAGAUGUCCCUGAAUAUUUGGGAAGGUUCAGAAUCUGGUGUACAGUGCCAGCCAAACCUGAGCCCACACGUCUGUUCUCUGUGAGAGAAGACAGGAGAAUGUGAACUGAGCGAGGUGACUGUGACAGAGUGCGGAAGUUCUGAUUGCUUCUGGCUCUCUGUGACAUUGAAAGCAGCUGAGAAUGAAGCAAAGGGAGGAGGUGAAGGAAGGUCUCAGAAGACAAAGUGCGAAACAAUCUGGGGGAACGGGUGGUCAAGUCUCUAUCUCUUCCCCUUGAAUCUUCGCCUUAUGACUGCCUGAUGCACUGAAUACAAUGCAAAGUAACUUUGUGACCCAGAUUUAAGGAACUGGUAGAUGCUCACUGUUGGAUCCCAGCCACACUGUGACCAGGAAGCCCAAGUGGAAGAAGUGGAGAGGGACUCAAGCCCCCAGGCCACAGUCCCUGCAGAUCACCUUGCAGACAGCCAGCAGGACACAGCCAUCUUGGAAGGAGAUCUCCCAGCACCCUCACUACCCCCACUGCCACGUGAAGCGCACAUGGAGAGAGAUCACAGGUUAGAGCCUUAGAGCAUUCAUCACAAGACUCAAACAUUUCUAGAGGGAAAAUAUUCCCAGGGGCUCUUUUUGUGAGUAAACUCAGAACUCCCUGGGAAAGAAUUCAUUGUAAAGAAAAACACAACCUUUGUUUUCAUCUCGCUAACCCCCACCAGAGUUGUGGCA